rnacentral:rRNA from 1 species
UACGGGAGGGUGCGAGCGUUGUCCGGAAUCAUUGGGCGUAAAGGGCGCGUAGGUGGCCACUUCAAGCGUGCGGUGAAAGUCGGGGGCUCAACCCCUGAUCGGCCGUGCGAACUGGGGGGCUGGAGCACUGUAGAGGCAGGCGGAAUUCCGGGUGUAGCGGUGGAAUGCGUAGAGAUCCGGAAGAACACCGGUGGCGAAGGCGGCCUGCUGGGCAGUUUUGCUGACACUGAGGCGCGACAGCGUGGGGAGCAAACAGG